GGGGCGGCCUCGCGGGAGGGAGGACAGUUUCGCGGGUUCGGGCGGCGAGUCUCCCGGAUGCUCCUCAGCUCUGGGGACGCGGUGCAGAAGUGUGAGGGCGCCCGGCUUCCAGGCAGUAAUGGGCGGGUCCCUGCGCGGGAGCGUGGCGGGCGCUGGACUCUACAGCAGAUGUGGAACUGGAGAGCUUGGCGCGCCUUCCGACUUUGUCACACACCUGCGCCGCCAGACUGGGGUCGGGCCCCUCCGCGUUCUGCUCUGGAGUGCCUGGGUCUGGGCCCAGCACCGCGCUUUUAGAAUCUCCUCAGCUGAAUCUGACGCUCAGCAGUGGGUGAAGCGCAGCCCCCUGUUUCAGGCCCUGCCGAGCUGGAAGGAGUGUCAGAGCUGGAGCGCGCGUGGCCCCCUCUGUGUUGGGGUCACCCCGGGGUUGCCAGGGCUCAGGGAGGGUCGUAGUCUGGAUUUUGUCACCCGCACGUCCCCACCCCCCAGCAGGUCUGGGGUUGGAGAAUCCACGCGGGCUUCAUAAGCUAGAUGCCAGUUAACUGUCGAGAGGGGACGCUCCCUCCUCGUAGGCGUCCACACUGGAGAAGGAAUAAGAUGGGCGAUUGCCUGGGAAGCCUGACAGGGCGGCGGCAGCUGGGAUGCUGGAGAGGACUGGCCCCUUGAGUUACUGAGUCCGAUGAAUGUGCUUGCUCUGCUGGAGGAACCGCGCUCAGGUUACAGUCAUCCCAAUAUGGUUCUGAAGAUGGAGUCCUCCUCUGUCACCCAGGCUGGAACGCAGUGGUAUGAUCUCGGCUAACUGCAACCUCAGCCUGCCAGGUUCAAGCAAUUCUUCUGCCUCAGCCUCCCGAGUAGCUGGGAUUACAGGUGCCUGCUGCCAUGAUGAUUAAUUUUAUGUGUUAACUUAGCUGGGCUGUGUUGCCCAGAUAGUUGGUUAAACAUUAUUCUGGAUGUUUCUGUGAAGAUGUUUUUGGAUGAGGUUAACAUUUAGAUCGGUGGACUUUGAGUAAAGCAGAUUACCUUUCAUAAUUUGGGUGGGGCUCAUCCAAUCAGUUGAACAUCUGAAGAGACCAAAAGACUGACCUUCUGCAAGCAAAGAAAAAUUCUGCCAACAGACAGCCAUUGGACUUGAACUUCAACAUUGACUCUUCAGUCUAUUGGCCCACCCUGCAAAUUUUGGACUUGCCAGUAAGUGUCUGAAAUCUAGUGAGGCAAUUUCUUUCUUUUUUUUUUUUUUGAGAUGGAGUUUCGCUCUUGUUGUCCAGGCUGGAGUGCAGUGGUGCGAUCUCAGCUCACCGUAACCUCUGCCUCCCAGGUUCAAGUGAUUCUUCUGCCUCAGCCUCCUGAGUAGCUGGGAUUACAGGCAUGUGCCACCACGCCUGGCUACUUUUGUAUUUUUAGUAGAGAUGGGGUUUCUCCAUAUUGGUCAGGCUGGUCUCAAAUUCCCAAACUCAGGUGAUCCACCCGCCUUGGCCUCCCAAAGUGCUGGGAUUACAGGUGUGAGCCACAGUGCCCAGCCUAAUUUCUUUCUUUCUUUCUUUCUUUUUUUGAGACAGAGUUUUGCUCUUUUUGACCAGAAAGGAGUGCAAUGUGGCAGGAUGUUGGCUCACUGCAACCUCCACCUCCUGGCCUCUCUAGUAGCUGGGAUUACAGGCGCCUGCCACCACGCCCAGCUAAUUUUUGUAUUUUUAGUAGAGAUGGGGUUUCACCAUGUUGGCCAGGCUGGUCUCAAACUCCUGAAAUUACGUGAUCUGCCCGCCUUGGCCUCCCAAAGUGCUGGGAUUACAGGCGUGAGCCACCAUGCCUAGCCGGGUAGUUUAUCUUGACUUGACUUCAGGCUCACCAAUCCUUUUGGCUGCAAUUCUACGAUAGAAAAGGACAUAAAAAACUUUAAAUUAGCCUUAGAAUAAAGAGAUGUUAUCAUUCCCUAGCAAUUAGUAUUCAAAGCAAGAUCCAAAUAUGUAAUUAGUCAUUUAUGUAUCUAAGCUGUUUGUAUGUAUGAUACAAGUUUUCACAUACAAAUUUCUUCUUUCUUUCUUUCUUUCUUUUUUUUUGAUAGAGGCAGGGUUUCACGACAUUGCCCAGGCUGGUCUUGAGCUCAAGUGAUCCAUCUGCCUUGGCCUCCCAAAGUGCUG
rnacentral:lncRNA from 1 species